rnacentral:rRNA from 1 species
GCCAUGCCGCGUGCAGGAAGACGGCCCUAUGGGUUGUAAACUGCCUUUAUACAGGAAGAAACGUUAGUACGUGUACUAGCCUGACGGUACUGUAAGAAUAAGGAUCGGCUAACUCCGUGCCAGCAGCCGCGGUAAUACGGAGGAUCCAAGCGUUAUCCGGAAUCAUUGGGUUUAAAGGGUCCGCAGGCGGUCUAAUAAGUCAGAGGUGAAAUCCUAUCGCUCAACGAUAGAACUGCCUUUGAUACUGUUAGACUUGAGUUAUUGUGAAGUAGUUAGAAUGUGUAGUGUAGCGGUGAAAUGCAUAGAUAUUACACAGAAUACCGAUUGCGAAGGCAGAUUACUAACAAUACACUGACGCUCAGGGACGAAAGCGUGGGUAGCGAACAGGAUUAGAUACCCUGGUAGUCCACGCCGUAAACGAUGGUCACUAGCUGUUUGAUGCACAUUGGUGUGUUGAGUGGCUAAGCGAAAGUGAUAAGUGACCCACCUGGGGAGUACGCUCGCAAGAGUGAAACUCAAAGGAAUUGACGGGGGCCCGCACAAGCGGUGGAGCAUGUGGUUUAAUUCGAUGAUACGCGAGGAACCUUACCAGGGCUUAAAUGUAAGUUGCAUGGAUCAGAGAUGAUCCUUUCUUCGGACUACUUACAAGGUGCUGCAUGGUUGUCGUCAGCUCGUGCCGUGAGGUGUCAGGUUAAGUCCUAUAACGAGCGCAACCCCUAUCGUUAGUUGCCAGCAAGUGAAGUUGGGUACUCUAACGAGACUGCCGGUGCAAACCGAGAGGAAGGUGGGGAUGACGUCAAAUCAUCACGGCCCUUACGUCCUGGGCUACACACGUGCUACAAUGGCCGGUACAGAGAGCAGCCACUACGCGAGUAGGAGCGAAUCUUCAAAGCCGGUCUCAGUUCGGAUCGCAGUCUGCAACUCGACUGCGUGAAGCUGGAAUCGCUAGUAAUCGCAUAUCAGCCAUGAUGCGGUGAAUACGUUCCCGGGCCUUGUACACACCGCCCGUCAAGCCAUGGAAGCUGGGGGUACCUGAAGUCGGUGACCGAAAGGAGCUGCCUAGGGUAAAACUAGUAACUGGGGCUAAGUCGUAACAAGGUAGCCGUACCGGAAGGUGCGGCUGGAACACCUCCUUUCU